CGGGGCUUCCGCCGCCGGGUUACGGGAACGGCGGCAGCGCGCUCGGGAGGAGGGAGCCGAAAUGAAUGCCACAAGGAAGUUGCAGCCCCUGUCCCAGGCUUACUUCAUGCUUUGUACAGCACCUCUGUGGAGGCAAGAAGUUCCAACGCUGUGGCUGUACAGCCCAAACUGCAGAUGGUGCAGCGAUUGUAUACACACAUCCUUCUGAAAAUUAGGCAAGUAUUUAGAAAUAAUAGAUGUACUGGCAAUCACCUAAAACCGUUUGGGAAAUUAAAGUAAUGCUGAAGUUGCCAAAAAAGAUUAUUUGUGUUGGUAACCUCGGUUUUGCAGAGCACAACAUAAACAAAAACAGUGGCAGAUCAGUUCUCAGGAAGAGCUGAGGCUUCACCAGCUCUUAUCUUCUGUUUCCUGUUGCAGCACGGAGGUGUUGACAUCAUGUUCCUGCACAUGCAAUAUGAAAAAAAAAAGAAAAGCUCAGGGUUCAUCAUUCUGUUUUGGCACAAAUAAAUCAACUUCUGCUCGUUGCUACUGAUUUUCUGCUUUCCUCCGCUGCUGUGGGUGUGUGAGGGGGGCCAGGCAGCCUCUGCAGGUGUUUCACAGCACACCCAGUUUUUGCUCUCUUAUGGCUUUCAAGUGCAGCUUGCAAUAAAAGUUAUUUUUAUUGCUGUUCAGGGGGCUUU